AGCGGCGGACGGGUGAGUAACACGUAGGCAACCUGCCCACAAGACAGGGAUAACUACCGGAAACGGUAGCUAAUACCCGAUACAUCCUUUUCCUGCAUGGGAGAAGGAGGAAAGACGGAGCAAUCUGUCACUUGUGGAUGGGCCUGCGGCGCAUUAGCUAGUUGGUGGGGUAAAGGCCUACCAAGGCGACGAUGCGUAGCCGACCUGAGAGGGUGAUCGGCCACACUGGGACUGAGACACGGCCCAGACUCCUACGGGAGGCAGCAGUAGGGAAUCUUCCGCAAUGGGCGAAAGCCUGACGGAGCAACGCCGCGUGAGUGAUGAAGGUUUUCGGAUCGUAAAGCUCUGUUGCCAGGGAAGAACGUCUUGUAGAGUAACUGCUACAAGAGUGACGGUACCUGAGAAGAAAGCCCCGGCUAACUACGUGCCAGCAGCCGCGGUAAUACGUAGGGGGCAAGCGUUGUCCGGAAUUAUUGGGCGUAAAGCGCGCGCAGGCGGCUCUUUAAGUCUGGUGUUUAAUCCCGAGGCUCAACUUCGGGUCGC
rnacentral:rRNA from 1 species